rnacentral:rRNA from 1 species
GAUGAACGCUGGCGGCGUGCCUAAUACAUGCAAGUCGAGCGAACAGAUAAGGAGCUUGCUCCUUUGACGUUAGCGGCGGACGGGUGAGUAACACGUGGUAACCUACCUAUAAGACUGGAAUAACUCCGGGAAACCGGGGCUAAUGCCGGAUAACAUUUAGAACCGCAUGGUUCUAAAGUGUAAGAUGGUUUUGCUAUCACUUAUAGAUGGACCCGCGCCGUAUUAGCUAGUUGGUAAGGUAACGGCUUACCAAGGCAACGAUACGUAGCCGACCUGAGAGGGUGAUCGGCCACACUGGAACUGAGACACGGUCCAGACUCCUACGGGAGGCAGCAGUAGGGAAUCUUCCGCAAUGGGCGAAAGCCUGACGGAGCAACGCCGCGUGAGUGAUGAAGGUCUUCGGAUCGUAAAACUCUGUUAUUAGGGAAGAACAAAUGUGUAAGUAACUGUGCACGUCUUGACGGUACCUAAUCAGAAAGCCACGGCUAACUACGUG